GACGAACGCUGGCGGCGUGCUUAACACAUGCAAGUCGAACGGAAAGGCCCUGCUUUUGUGGGGUGCUCGAGUGGCGAACGGGUGAGUAACACGUGAGUAACCUGCCCUUGACUUUGGGAUAACUUCAGGAAACUGGGGCUAAUACCGGAUAGGAGCUCCUGCUGCAUGGUGGGGUUGGAAAGUUUCGGCGGUUGGGGAUGGACUCGCGGCUUAUCAGCUUGUUGGUGGGGUAGUGGCUUACCAAGGCUUUGACGGGAAGCCGGCCUGAGAGGGUGACCGGCCACAUUGGGACUGAGAUACGGCCCAGACUCCUACGGGAGGCAGCAGUGGGGAAUAUUGCACAAUGGGCGGAAGCCUGAUGCAGCAACGCCGCGUGCGGGAUGACGGCCUUCGGGUUGUAAACCGCUUUCGCCUGUGACGAAGCGUGAGUGACGGUAAUGGGUAAAGAAGCACCGGCUAACUACGUG
rnacentral:rRNA from 1 species